CCUACGGGAGGCAGCAGUGAGGAAUAUUGGUCAAUGGGCGGAAGCCUGAACCAGCCAAGUAGCGUGCAGGAUGACGGCCCUACGGGUUGUACACUGCUUUUAUACGGGAAUAACGCGCCUUACGUGUAGGGCUUUGCAUGUACCGUAUGAAUAAGGACCGGCUAAUUUCGUGCCAGCAGCCGCGGUAAUACGGAGGGUCCGGGCGUUAUCCGGAUUUAUUGGGUUUAAAGGGAGCGUAGGCCGCAUGUCAAGCGUGCUGUGAAAUGUCCGGGCUCAACCCGGGCCUUGCAGCGCAAACGGGCGUGCUUGAGUGCGCGGGAGGCAGGCGGAAUUCGUCGUGUAGCGGUGAAAUGCUUAGAUAUGACGAAGAACCCCGAUUGCGAAGGCAGCUUGCUGCAGCGGAACUGACGCUGAUGCUCGAAAGCGCGGGUAUCGAACAGGAUUAGAUACCCCAGUAGUC
rnacentral:rRNA from 1 species